rnacentral:rRNA from 1 species
UACAGAGGUCUCAAGCGUUGUUCGGAUUCAUUGGGCGUAAAGGGUGUGUAGGUGGCGCUGUAAGUCGGGUGUGAAAUCUCGGGGCUUAACUCCGAAACUGCAUUCGAUACUGCGGUGCUUGAGGACUGGAGAGGAGACUGGAAUUCAUGGUGUAGCAGUGAAAUGCGUACAGAUCAUGAGGAAGACCAGUGGCGAAGGCGGGUCUCUGGACAGUUCCUGACACUGAGACACGAAGGCCAGGGGAGCAAACGGG